UCUGUUUUAAUAAGCAAUUGUCUUAUUGUGUAUUAUUUAAAAUUUUUUUUGAAAUUGAGUAAGUAACAAUAUUAUAUUUUUAAAGGCAAAAUAAAGGACUUAUAAAGGAAAUAGACUGUGCUCCUUUGUAUUUUCAUUACUGUAAUCUUGUUUCUGCAACUCACAGGGCAGAGAGCUCUGAGGGCUUUUAAUCAAAUGACAUGCCUUGACCUGGAUCUGGAGGCGUUUUCAUAGUUCUGGCUCUGAUGGCGAUUGCUAUGUGACCUUGAGACAGUCACUUCCUCUCUCUGGACCACAGCUGCCUCGUUUGGAAAAUGAAGAGAUUGAACCUUACAGCCUCUAAGAAGGAAGGUUAACCCUCUCACCUCGAAAACUGAUCAUCGCUGUAAGUGAGAAGGAGGGCCACAGUGGAAGGAAGAAGGGACACAGAAUGAGGGGAGCAAGCAUGGUGUGACCUUGGCUAUGUGGUUACACCAGGGACUACCUCAUGCAAACCAGAAGCUCUGCUGGACCAAAUGAUAUUGUGAUGAAUCACCUGAAAUUUGACAGAAGACAGAUCCUGGGUCAAGCCUGUGCUCAUCCACUUCCUAGCAGAAUGACUUUGCUGGAGCUACCUGAUCUCUCUGAACCCCUAUGUCCUCGUCUGUAAAAUAAGGAUAGUAAUGAUACCCACAUCACAGGGUUGUUGCAGUUGGUCCAUAGUAAGUCCUCCAUUAAAGUUAGCUGUUAU